UACGAGGGGUGCAAGCGUUGCUCGGAAUUAUUGGGCGUAAAGGGUAGGUAGGUGGUCUCAUUUGUCUGGGGUGAAAGCCUUGAGCUUAACUCAAGAAGUGCCCCGGAAACGGUGAGACUGGAGUCCUGGAGAGGGUCGUGGAAUUCCCGGUGUAGCGGUGAAAUGCGCAGAUAUCGGGAGGAACACCAAUUGCGAAGGCAGCUCGCUGGGACGUUACUGACGCUGAGACGCGAAAGCGUGGGGAGCAAACAGG
rnacentral:rRNA from 1 species